UGCAUGUUCUUAAUAAAAUGGCAUUCUUGUGUUUUUACUAAACUGACCCAUUCACUGAGGAGUUUCAGUCCCAGCCAAAACCCGUCCUGUUUCAGUGAUGAGUUCUGAUCCCAGCCAAUCCGACAGUCUGGUGCAUUCCAGGUAAGUAAACACCAGCCAUUGCUGAGGCUCAUCAAAAUGGAAGCUCCUCAUUGAUCAAGAUGGGUUGUUAGCACAACCCUUGCAGGUGCCACAGUUGGUUCAUUCACUGGGGGAGCAUUAGCUGAUAAAUUCGGUAGAACGAGGACUUUUCAACUAGAUGCAAUCCCACUUGCAGUUGGAGCAUUUCUCUGUGCUAUGGCCCAGAGUGUACAAACGAUGAUAAUUGGUCGUUUACUUGCUGGGAUUGGGAUAGGCACUCAUCUGCCAUUGUGCCACUUUACAUAUCUGAGAUAUCACCCACCGAGAUUCGAGGUGCACUUGGAUCAGUCAACCAGCUUUUCAUUUGCAUAGGAAUUCUUGCAGCUUUGGUGGCCAGAUUGCCUUUAGCUGGAAAUCCACUAUGGUAUUUCUCUCACUUAUUCUAUU